rnacentral:rRNA from 1 species
GGGUAUGACCAUACUUGGCCGAAUGCACACCAUAUCUCGUCCGAUGUGUGAAGUUAAGCGGCCACAGGUCUCGUUAGUACCGCGACCACUUACAGUGCUGGAACCCUUGGUGCCGUACCCUC